rnacentral:rRNA from 1 species
AACGUAGGAGACAAACGUUAUCCGGAGUUACUGGGCGUAAAGGGCGCGUAGGUGGCCCGGUCAGUCUUUGGUGAAAGCGCGGGCUCAACCCUGCGUCGGCCAGGGAUACUGCCGCGGCUCGAGCACUGUAGAGGCAGGCGGAAUUCCGGGUGUAGCGGUGGAAUGCGUAGAGAUCCGGAAGAACACCGGUGGCGAAGGCGGUCUGCUGGGCAGUUGCUGGACACUGAGGCGCGACAGCGUGGGAGCAAC